AUUGAAAGCUGGCGGCAGGCUUAACACAUGCAAGUCGAGCGGGGUGAUGGUGCUUGCACUAUCACUUAGCGGCGGACGGGUGAGUAAUGCUUAGGAAUCUGCCUAUUAGUGGGGGACAACAUCUCGAAAGGGAUGCUAAUACCGCAUACGUCCUACGGGAGAAGGCAGGGGAUCACUUGUGACCUUGCGCUAAUAGAUGAGCCUAAGUCGGAUUAGCUAGUUGGUGGGGUAAAGGCCUACCAAGGCGACGAUCUGUAGCGGGUCUGAGAGGAUGAUCCGGCACACUGGGACUGAGACACGGGCCAGACUCCUACGGGAGGCAGCAGUGGGGAAUAUUGGACAAUGGGGGGAACCCUGAUCCAGCCAUGCCGCGUGUGUGAAGAAGGCCUUAUGGUUGUAAAGCACUUUAAGCGAGGAGGAGGCUCUUUUGGUUAAUACCCAAGAUGAGUGGACGUUACUCGCAGAGUAAGCACCGGCUAACUCUGUGCCAGCCGCCGCCGUAA
rnacentral:rRNA from 1 species